UUGAUGAAAGAAAAAAUAUAUUAAGGGGUACGUUGCGCUUGUUAUAUUGCAGAAAAUAUUGAAAAUGUACCGGGAUCGCAUAUUAUAGGAUUUGUGAUGCACAGAAACGAAGAAGAGCAUUAAUAAGAAAUGAAUUGCGGCUGAUCCGAUAAAAAAUUGAAUUUUUUAUCCUACACGUCUCACUAAAGCUAAUAACGGUGUGACCUAAGAGAGCACUAAUCCCCCUCUGCAUUAUAAAUGUGAUAGUCAUAUUUUUCUGAUCGGUGUCCCUGAAGACCUGGAGAUUUCAUAAGAUUUUAUAAGAAAUUAAGAAUGAGAAAUUUUAGAUUUGUGGAGAAAUUUUUAGAAGAGAAAAAUGCAAAGAUCUAUAGUAUUUUUUGGGGGAGAAAGGAGAGGAAGUAGAAUGCAUGAAGAAGGAAGAAUGUAAAAUUAUGAAAAAGAUGAAUUGUAUAAUAUAAAAGAAAAUAAGUAUAAAUAUAUGUAAUAGGAAAUUAAUAGAAGGAUAGAAAUAAGGAUAGAAAUAAGAUAAUAAUAGUAUGGAAACAAAAAUGGCUGUGGUGAAUGUGAUAAGUGUGAUAGCGUCGAUAAAAAUAUAAGAAGUAAAAAGGACAUGUAAAUCUAUGAUAAAGAUGAAUUAUUAUAUAAAGUAUAUAUAUUAAUAUGUAUUAAUAGUAAAGAUAGAGUCGUAAUAAAGUCGUAUAAAAGA
rnacentral:lncRNA from 13 species